AACGUACGCUGGCGGCACGCCUAACACAUGCAAGUCGAACGAAGUAGCAAUACUUAGUGGCAGACGGGUGAGUAACAUGUAGGUAUCUGCCCUUUGGCCUGGAAUAACACGAGGAAACUUGUGCUAAUACCGGAUAAGUCUUUACGGAGAAAGCUUUAUGCACCAUUGGAUGAGCCUGCACUUGAUUAGUUUGUUGGUGGGGUAAUGGCCUACCAAGACUGUGAUCAAUAGCUGAUUUGAGAGGAUGAUCAGCCACAUUGGGACUGAGACACGGCCCAAACUCCUACGGGAGGCAGCAGUGGGGAAUCUUGCACAAUGGAGGAAACUCUGAUGCAGCGAUGCCGCGUGAGUGAAGAAGGCCCUUGGGUUGUAAAGCUCUUUCGUCGGGGAAGAAAAUGACUGUACCCGAAUAAGAAGGUCCGGCUAACUUCGUGCCAGCAGCCGCGGUAAUACGAAGGGACCUAGCGUAGUUCGGAAUUACUGGGCUUAAAGAGUUCGUAGGUGGUUGAAAAAGUUAGUGGUGAAAUCCCAGAGCUUAACUCUGGAACUGCCAUUAAAACUUUUCAGCUAGAGUAUGAUAGAGGAAAGCAGAAUUUCUAGUGUAGAGGUGAAAUUCGUAGAUAUUAGAAAGAAUACCAAUUGCGAAGGCAGCUUUCUGGAUCAUUACUGACACUGAGGAACGAAAGCAUGGGUAGCGAAGAGGAUUAGAUACCCUCGUAGUCCAUGCCGUAAACGAUGUGUGUUAGACGUUGGAAAUUUAUUUUCAGUGUCGCAGGGAAACCGAUAAACACACCGCCUGGGGAGUACGACCGCAAGGUUAAAACUCAAAUGAAUUGACGGGGACCCGCACAAGUAGUGGAGCAUGUGGUUUAAUUCGAAGAUACGCGCAGAACCUUACCAACACUUGACAUGUUCGUCGCGACUCUAAGAGAUUAGAGUUUUCGGUUCGGCCGGACGAAACACAGGUGCUGCAUGGCUGUCGUCAGCUCGUGUCGUGAGAUGUUGGGUUAAGUCCCGCAACGAGCGCAACCCUCACUUUUAGUUGCCAUCAUUAAGUUGGGCACUCUGAAAGAACUGCCAGUGAUAAGCUGGAGGAAGGUGGGGAUGACGUCAAGUCCUCAUGGCCCUUACGUGUUGGGCUACACACGUGCUACAAUGGUAUCUACAACAGGAAGCAAGACUGCGAAGUUAAGCAAAUCUCUAAAAGAUACCUCAGUUCGGAUUGCACUCUGCAACUCGAGUGCAUGAAGCUGGAAUUACUAGUAAUCGUGGAUCAGCGUGCCACGGUGAAUGCGUUCCCGGGUCUUGUACACACCGCCCGUCACACCAUGGGAGUUGGUUCUACCUUAAGGCAAGGUUUCAAACCCUUGACCACGGUAUAGUCAGCGACUGGGGUGAAGUCGUAACAAGGUA
rnacentral:rRNA from 1 species